AUUUGAUCAGUGAUGUGAUUUGUACAUAAUCUGCGUUAUCUUUCUGCAACUCCUUUCAAGGAAUUGAAGAUGACUGUGAUACACUGAGAUUAAU
rfam:Musa acuminata subsp. malaccensis Doubled-haploid Pahang (DH-Pahang) genomic chromosome, chr1